rnacentral:rRNA from 1 species
GACGAACGCUGGCGGCGUGCUUAACACAUGCAAGUCGAACGGAAAGGCCCUGCUUUUGUGGGGUGCUCGAGUGGCGAACGGGUGAGUAACACGUGAGUAACCUGCCCUUGACUUUGGGAUAACUUCAGGAAACUGGGGCUAAUACCGGAUAGGAGCUCCUGCUGCAUGGUGGGGGUUGGAAAGUUUCGGCGGUUGGGGAUGGACUCGCGGCUUAUCAGCUUGUUGGUGGGGUAGUGGCUUACCAAGGCUUUGACGGGUAGCCGGCCUGAGAGGGUGACCGGCCACAUUGGGACUGAGAGACGGCCCAGACCCCUACGGGAGGCAGCAGUGGGGAAUAUUGCACAAGGGGCGGAAGCCUGAUGCAGCAACGCCGCGUGCGGGAUGACGGCCUUCGGGUGGUAAACCGCUUUCGCCUGUGACGAAGCGUGAGGGACGGUAAUGGGUAAAGAAACACCGGCUAACUACGU